rnacentral:rRNA from 1 species
CGCGGCCUAUCAGCUUGUUGGCGGGGUAACGGCCCACCAAGGCGAUGACGGGUAGCUGGUCUGAGAGGAUGGCCAGCCACAUUGGGACUGAGAUACAGCCCAGACUCCUACGGGAGGCAGCAGUGGGGAAUCUUGCGCAAUGGUCGAAAGACUGACGCAGCGACGCCGCGUGCGGGAGGAAGCCCUUCGGGGUGUAAACCGCUGUUACUCGGGACGAACUUCCCGAUUCAUCGGGAUUGACGGUACCGGGGGAGGAAGCACCGGCUAACUCUGUGCCAGCAGCCGCGGUAAUACAGAGGGUGCGAGCGUUGUCCGGAAUCACUGGGCGUAAAGGGCGCGUAGGCGGCUUCUCACGCGUGCGGUGAAAGCCCGGGGCUUAACUCCGGGUCUGCCGUGCGAACGGGGAGGCUUGAGUCUGGUAGAGGUCGAUGGAAUUCCGGGUGUAGCGGUGGAAUGCGUAGAGAUCCGGAAGAACACCGGUGGCGAAGGCGGUCGACUGGGCCAGAACUGACGCUGAGGCGCGACAGCGUGGGGAGCAAACAGGAUUAGAUACCCUGGUAGUCCACGCCGUAAACGAUGGGCACUAGGUCCUUGGGGGAGCGACCCCUUGAGGGCCGGCGCUAACGCAUUAAGUGCCCCGCCUGGGGAGUACGG